UCAAGUGAGUAAGAUGAGCACUCUGAUAAAUUAAUUUCAGAUGUAAUAAUAUUAUUAUUGUUUUAGUGGUGUGGUGUGUCUUUCUUUUGGUUUGCGUGGACGCAAUGCACAGCAUGUGUUAGGGUCGCGAGGCGGGGGCGGGGCCCAGACAGCAGCCGCCGCGCUCCCUCCGCGCUCUCUCCGCGAUCGAUACGCGACGUCUACAGCCUGCCUUUGUUUACACUUGUCCCUCCGCACGCGCUGCGAUGCUCCAUCCCAUCCAAUCUGUAGUACACAUGUUCGCAAUGAGAAGCCUGUAGCGCGUCAACGCACCCCGCGUGAACUGCCCAUCGAGCGGUGUCUGGAAACCGUGCAGUCCUCCCUUCAAUAGAGGAACACCAGACUCAAUAAAGGAGCCGAUGACUAUUGCAAUGACUACAUCAAAACCUUGACAAGUAUACUGCAGACACACCAAGACAGAGAACAAAACCGAGCGGCAAAGACGAAGCAAGUGGUCAGCAAAUGAGCGGCUAAGACGCGGUCAUGUUAUCUAGUGUACGAUUCGGCGUCCGAAGUCUGUGCGUUCAGCAUCCAAGAACUACCAUGGCGCCCUCGCGGCGACCACCUCCUCGUCAACGAGCCUAUUGGAGCUGCACUACAGGAGUACAAAAAUUGUGCUUGAGAACCUCUAAGUUUCAUUCAGACAAACGGUCGAGGCGUACCUAUUUUUUUUGUUUUGUUUACACAGCUCCUAUGCCGGUUAGUGUAUGUGUCUUUCGCACUGGACAUCUUUAAACUACCAAGCGCCUUGUUAUUCAACAAAUCCAGAUAGACCUGAUUGGACGCCCACUUCUAUUCACAAAGUGUAUUGGUUUGCGCGUUGGCCACAUCCAACACCGAUUGAAGACAACGACUGCAUUCGUGGCUGAAUACUAUACUGUGCUAUCAGUAUAUCAGACUAGAUGGCUCAUUUGGGUCCCCGACAAAUAUUACCAUUGAUCGAGGUCGACAGUUUGUUUCAAUGUCUGUCGAAGUUAGUCGGAUUCGAAUACUCAUAUGUAUAGACAUUCGCGCGAGAGCCGGCCGCCAUCUGUGGAACGGUCUACUUGAGAGAGUGUCCAUCGUUCAGUUCUUGCGGCACCAACUCACAAGUUGUUUUACCUUGCCAAUUUGACGCAAAUGGACCUUCAUUAUUUUCAUUAACCUCGGAAGCUGCUGCUGACUCAGCAGCAGUUUGAAUACCGUCAGUUUCCUAUACCGCGUUUAAUUCGUCGUUGUUGACUAUAGUUUUCGGGACGAGUCGAAUUUGAUGAAGAUUUCGACUUGCAACCUAACCCAUAGACCUAACCCACUGAGUUCCUCGCCGGAUCCUCUCAAUGGGUCGUGGUGCCGAUCCGGUGACAGAUUCGGCACUGCUUUUGAUAGGGCUAGUGCUAACAAGUUUUCUUAGGUUGAACCCGUGAGCUCUUCUAACCGUUCGAGCGUAGCUAGGAUAGCCUCUUGGGCUAUCAGCGCUUAGGUUGGGGGGAAAAAGACGCUAGUCAACAACCUGUUCUGUGCUGUGCUCCUCCGAUGCUCCUUUAAGCUCUUAUGUACUGUGUGCACAACGAGCGAUGGAUAAAUCAAAAUAAUACGAGUAGGGUAAGAGAUUCUUCACUACUGUGUUUGGGUUGAUCAGAGCCCACGUCCCUUCACUAUCAACUACAACAGCGCACAUCCAACGAACCUGGUUGAUACGUGUAAGCAGCACGAACUCAUAACUAAGACAGUUCAAAACUCUGAUGGGAACUCUAGGGCGUGAUCAUAAAUAUAGUGUUAUAUUUUACUGAGCUUUUCCUUAUGUUCACCCGUAGCCAAACUUCUUCACCAGGCAACGUCCGUAAUAUUUUUUCAAUAUCAUCCCGUCACUGAGCUUCCAGCAGCAUACGAUAGAUCGAGCUGAACCUUUGGAAGUGGUUGGUGGUUGAUUGUAGGGUCACCAGUGCCGGGCGGCACAAUAAGGAGUCAGUUAUAGGGUAGACAGUUUAUUCCCAAUCACAUACAGUAUAUUUAGCAGAAGGAGAAAGUACGGAGAACAGAAGGCACUGAUAAAGCGGUAGGAAGUCGAAGGCACAAGCAAUAGAUCGUAACAAAGCAAAAGAGUUCGCGUAAGUCGAGGAGUGACAAAGGCUUCGCGUGGCAUAGAUCAAACCCGACCUCUUCCAAACUGGUGAUCCUGGUGACUGGUGGUGUAAAUUUGCAAAAAUGUCUCUUAAACCAAAUAGCUUUCCAUCCCUCGAUAUAUUUAUUGGUUAACAGGUUCAGGUGUCAGAUGUAUGUAAG